GGACGAACGCUGGCGGCGUGCUUCACACAUGCAAGUCGAACGGUCUGGAAGUUAGACAUCAGAGGUCAGAUGUCUGAAAUCGAAGCAAUUUGCCUAGGGCAAAUUGCCACAAGAAAUCCGAUUUCUGAUUUCCGAUGUCUGACUUCCAGAUAGUGGCGGACGGGUGAGUAACACGUGAGCAACCUGCCCGACAACUCGGGAUAACAGCGGGAAACCGUUGCUAAUACCGGAUACUCCAGUUCUAACGCAUGUUAGAACUGGGAAAGGGUUUACCGAUGUCGGAUGGGCUCGCGACCCAUUAGCUUGUUGGUGGGGUAACGGCCUACCAAGGCUGCGAUGGGUAGCUGGUCUGAGAGGACGAUCAGCCACACUGGAACUGAGACACGGUCCAGACUCCUACGGGAGGCAGCAGUGGAGAAUAUUGCACAAUGGGCGAAAGCCUGAUGCAGCGACGCCGCGUGGAGGAUGAAGGCCUUCGGGUCGUAAACUCCUGUCUGGGGGGAUGAAUAAUGACAGUACCCCCGGAGGAAGCCCCGGCUAACUACGUGCCAGCAGCCGCGGUAAUACGUAGGGGGCAAGCGUUGUCCGGAAUUACUGGGCGUAAAGCGCGCGCAGGUGGCUUGUUAAGUCAGGUGUCAAAAUGCGGGGCUCAACUCCGCAGCGCACUUGAAACUGGCAGGCUUGAGUGCAGGAGAGGAAAGUGGAAUUCCUAGUGUAGCGGUGAAAUGCGUAGAUAUUAGGAGGAACACCAGUGGCGAAGGCGACUUUCUGGACUGCAACUGACACUGAGGCGCGAAAGCUAGGGGAGCAAACAGGAUUAGAUACCCUGGUAGUCCUAGCCGUAAACGAUGGGUACUAGGUGUUGGGGGUGACAAUCCUCCAGUGCCGCAGUUAACGCAUUAAGUACCCCGCCUGGGGACUACGGCCGCAAGGCUGAAACUCAAAGGAAUUGACGGGGGCCCGCACAAGCAGCGGAGCAUGUGGUUUAAUUCGAUGCAACGCGAAAAACCUUACCAGGGCUUGACAUCCUCUGAAGCUAUAAGAGAUUAUAGUGUCCCUUCGGGGCAGAGAGACAGGUGGUGCAUGGUUGUCGUCAGCUCGUGUCGUGAGAUGUUGGGUUAAGUCCCGCAACGAGCGCAACCCUUAUUCUCAGUUGCCAUCACUUAGGGUGGGCACUCUGAGGAGACUGCCGGUGACAAACCGGAGGAAGGUGGGGAUGACGUCAAAUCAUCAUGCCCCUUAUGUCCUGGGCUACACACGUGCUACAAUGGCCUGAACAACGGGCGUGCGAAGGAGCGAUCCGGAGCAAAUCCCUUAAAUCAGGUCCCAGUUCGGAUUGCAGGCUGCAACUCGCCUGCAUGAAGUCGGAGUUGCUAGUAAUCGCGGAUCAGAAUGCCGCGGUGAAUGCGUUCCCGGGCCUUGUACACACCGCCCGUCACACCACGAAAGUUUGCAACACCCGAAGCCGGUGAGCUAACCCUCCUAGAGAUUAGAGGUUAGAAGUUUGAGGUUAGAAUAAAGGCCGCUUAACAAGUGGCAAAAAUCCAACUUCCAACAUCUAAUUUCUAACCUCUAGGUGGGAGGCAGCCGUCGAAGGUGGGGCAGAUAAUUGGGGUG
rnacentral:rRNA from 1 species